rnacentral:rRNA from 1 species
UACGUAAGGUCCGAGCGUUGUCCGGAAUCAUUGGGCGUAAAGGGUAUGUAGGUGGAUAAGCAAGUUACGAGUUAAAUCCUAGAGCUCAACUAUAGUAAGCUUUUGAAACUGCUCAGCUUGAGGGAUGGAAAGGAAAGUGGAAUUCCUAGUGAAGCGGUGAAAUGCGCAGAUAUUAGGAGGAAUACCGGUGGCGAAGGCGACUUUCUGGGCAUAAACUGACACUGAGGGACGAAAGCGUGGGUAGCAAACAGG